AUAGCACACGUACGUCGCGGAGAUGUCUGCGCGAUGUCUUCUUUUUCGUCUGGAAGACGUAUUAUAUAGGGCGUUUGCUCAUCUGGAAGGCGUCGCCGAGACGUCCGACCCAGCUGUUUGCAAGACACCCAGCAGAUCUUUACAAGAUGUAUGUUAUUUAGAACGAUGGCGAGCCGCCGUUUCCCAGAUCUUUACAAGAUGUUAGAACAGCAAGCCGCUCUUUCACAGAUCUUUAGAAGAGCUUUAAAAGAUGCCGAGCCGCUCUUUUCCAGAUGUUUAGAAGAGCUUUAAAAGAUGCCGAGCCGCUCUUUCCCAGAUCUUUAGAAGAGCUUAAAAAGACGGUAAGCCGCUCUUUCCCAGAUGUUUGUAAGAUUAAAAGAUCCCUCAUUAACAAAUUGAAUUGCCCUUAACUACAGCAAAUUAUUUCUACACACAUCUACACAUGCAUGCUGUGUCGUCGAUAUUAAGUAAUUAAAACACAAUUUUCAAUUGAUCUUAAAACAGGCAGUUGUUGAUUUUAUAAAACACAUUUAUUCAAAUUAAACAAUGAAAACUUUCAUUCAUUUAUCUUUAAAGAUGCAUUUUACACGACAGUAUGCGAAAACAACAACAUAUAAACAUAACAUAUUUAAAAUAAUAAAAACCUUUCCGCGUCUGCUUUAUUAAUCUCCAUUCUGAAAUAAAACAUUACAAAAAAUUACCAGGAAAUAAUCGUGAAAGGCUGUUCUUUCUUCAUAGCGUUAAUUAGGAUCUAGAAGAUAAAAUUACCCGAAAGUGUUGUCAUUGUUAAAUAAAUUACGAAUGUGCGUCUUUGCGUCAAGGUCAUGAUUCUACAUAACAACAUCCGCUUGACCUCGCAAUGCCAAGAAGAAGAAAGGCGUGGAACAUUUGCUUAAGCCUGUCAAGAUCUUCAGCAGAUGUUUGAGCAAAAAGUCAUCAUCCUCUUCGUCACUCUUCAUCCGUAUUUGGGGUAACAAGCACCUGCUUCCCACAAGAGACUGGAUAGCUGAUGUCAGACCUGCACCUUCCUUGAACAUGUUGGUAUCUUACUCUGUAUUUGUUCACGGUGGUCACCCCAGGGUCUCAGGACUCAAUUUGAGUGCUCUAUGGAUUAAACAGAAAAUGCAGUAUAAACAAGUGUUAUGUUGUCUUCAACAUGUUGGUAACUUACUCUGUAUUUGUUCACGGUGGUCACCCCAGGGUCUCAGGACUCAAAACGAGUGCUCUAUGGAUUGAACAUAAAAUGUAGUAUAAACAAGUGUUAUGUUUUUAAAUGCCACUAAUAAUGUGUUUCUGUUUUCUUUCUCAUUAUGCUAACAAACACUCUUUUACCCCUCAUGUUAGGUAGAUCAACACUCCAACCAUCUGCAUUAGGGACUGAAUAAAGGAUGCCCUCUGUAGCUGGGAAUGUUAGAUCAGGCGGAUCAACAUUCCAUCCAUCUGCAUUAGGAUCUACCUUAGAGACACUCACUGGAGCUGUAAAUGGGAAGCAGGUCACUUACUUUGCAUUCGUCCUUGGUGGUCACCCAAGGGUCUCUAGAGUGAAAAUUACUCAAUCUAUGGAUUAAACAGAAAAUUUAGUUGUAUGAAGUGCAAUUUGGGACAUUCUUCCAGUUGUCGGCAACUUUGUGAAAAAGGCUGGAAACUUAAAUGCAGAAUUCUGGCCUGGUGUUUGGUCUGUGCUGUCUUUGGCUCUUGCAUCUCCAUCAUCCUGACCCUCUUUAGCAGCCUGUCCAUGUAUUUAUUUGGAGGCCACCAUGAGCACCCAUCUGCAUAAUAUGACUUUGUUACUCAGAUGUCCAUGCGCUCCUACAAAUUCUACAUUUUUUGUAAAGCUGCAACAAGUUGAAACCCUAUAAUUAUUAACGUUUGAUUUUGAACUAUGUAAUUCAAAUACAUGAAUAAGUAACAAAAGCAGAAAUUUAUUAAGAUAUUACCUUUUUGUUGCUUGUUUACUGAUCUAUCAAUCCUUUUGCAUUUUCAUAAUUGUUCAUCAUAACUUGGUAUACAGUGGAUGUGUGGCUGCAGAUAACUUUCUGAAGUCAAUUUAAAAAGACAAAAGUUAAUAAAUGCUGAAUUGGUCAAAUAUACAUUGUUGUAUUUUCACCAUUUUGAUGUUUAGGCAUUUCAUAACUUGAGGGUUAAUUCACGUAUAGUGAUGUUUCAAAUCAAAGAUUAAUUUAUUAAUGACAGCUAAUCAUUUUAUAAAGAUUUUUAUUACAAUAUUUAUUUAAUAUCAAUUUAAUACAUUUAAUUCGUUACACCUACAUUACUGAGCGCAAGGGAGUGCAGCCAACAAAUACAUUCAGGUGUGUUCGACUUAACACCGAGAUGCGCAGACAGCACGUGGUAUGACAUCAAAGUACCGCGAGAGUUUGGGAAAGCCCCGGAAAAGGUUUGAUCUCGCGGUACUUGAUGUCACGAUCGGUUUGCGUGUAGAUCAGCAUGAAGUAGAACACAUCUGAAAGAUGUGUGGGCUGCCUGCACUCAACGUUGCGAUAAUUCAGUAGAGUGUAACCUCAAUCGGUUUUUGCAGCUUCUGGGUGUCGUGUCGAACGAUCGCAGAACGAUUUUUUGUUCUUUUCCAACUCGAUUUUUAACUCCCUAGACUAGUAGGAUGUUCCAACGGGUGAAGCAACAGUGCUGACGGCAGAGUUUCAGUGUCAAUUUUUCAUGCCAUGAUCACUGGGGCGGAAACCAUUAUGACGUUGCCUUGGACAUCAAACUAAACCAUCUCAUUCUGGCUUUUUUCUAACAUCGAAAUCUCAGAAGGCCAGGACUAAGAUGGACGCAGCCUCCACAUGCAACCUUGCAUUUGAGGAACACCCAUAGAACGGUCAACUUACCCCAUACUCUAACCUGAAUGCAGGGAUCAUAAAACUUUAUCUUUUACCUUAAUUGUUAGAUGGGUGUUGAUACCAAACUUUUUUGUCUCGUCUACCCAGGAGAAAGUCAUGGGUUCUGCUGCUGAGAAUUCUGGCUUGAUGUUUGGUCCACCUGUUAGCUGGCUCUGGUGCUUGGUAGUCUUCUCAAACCUCUGAAUCAAGGCCACCAUGAGAGGCCUUCUGAAGACCAUCAUUACGCUUCAGAUCCAGUUGUCUUAACUAUGAGCCUACCACAAUCCCUGUGCACCAGCUAUGGAAAGUGCAGACCAAACUUCUACCUCCACCUAUAGAACUGAACUGGAGUCUGUGAACUAAUGCUGUGUUCGAGACAACUGGAACAGCAAACAAAGUUGAGUAUCCGACCUCUCAACUUGUGACUGAUCGAUCAGCACCAACCUCAACGAGAUGCAUCAUUUGACAUUGCAGACAAGUUGGUGGCUAGCCUUUCACAGCCUUACAUGAACCGCAAACAAACUUUAAACUAUUUUUACAGCACAUAAUAUUUAUGAACAUGAAUGUUAAAUUAUCCAGUAACCAUUUUCUGCCAUAAUUGGCACAAGAGCACAAACUUCUCCUGGCGUCUCAUUAUGUGGUAAACACGCAAAUGUGAUAUGUGAUUGACUGGAAUGCAUUGAGGUCGGUGGUAGGAUAUUUAAUGACAUAACAUCAGAAAUCCGAAUUGUAACACUGCGCAAUAUUUCACAUAAUUGUCAUGACCUGAUUAUCCUCCCAUGUUUUUAACACAACCAUUGAUUGGUCACACGGAAGCAGAGACUUUGUCCUUUGUAUCUCUCAAAAAAAAAAGAAUUCUAUAUUUAAUGUUAAAAAACACUUACAGUAGACUGUGUUAGAUAACUGUGCUUUUGGAAGUCAUUUCUGAUAACCGCACACCUAACUUGUCUAAUGUCUUAAAAAUAGGCACCAGAGCAAUGUUUGUGGUAACCGUGGUAUAAGAGGAAUAAUUGACUCCGGUCCUUUGAAUUAUUUGAAAAUAAAGCACACCCGCGGUGUAACGGCACUCUGCUUCGCGUCGUGCCGCAUUGCACCUUGGGUGUGCAUUAUUUUCUUAUAAUUCAAUGGCCCGUCGUCAAUUAUUCCUUACAUAUUGAAGGUUGACAGGUUUGUUUGCAUGUAAUUGCAGUAUUAUUAAUUUGAGGUUGA